UACAGAGGGUGCAAGCGUUAAUCGGAUUUACUGGGCGUAAAGGGCGCGUAGGCGGCCUUCUAAGUCGAACGUGAAAUCCCCGGGCUCAACCCGGGAACUGCGUCCGAUACUGGAAGGCUUGAAUCCGGGAGAGGGAUGUGGAAUUCCAGGUGUAGCGGUGAAAUGCGUAGAUAUCUGGAGGAACACCGGUGGCGAAGGCGACAUCCUGGACCGGUAUUGACGCUGAGGCGCGAAAGCCAGGGGAGCAAACGGG
rnacentral:rRNA from 1 species